rnacentral:rRNA from 1 species
UCCACGCAGUAAACGAUGAAUGUUAGUCGUUGGAUAGCAAGUCUAUUCAGUGAUGCAGUUAACACAUUAAACAUUCCGCCUGGGGAGUACGGUCGCAAGAUUAAAACUCAAAGGAAUAGACGGGGACCCGCACAAGUGGUGGAGCAUGUGGUUUAAUUCGAAAAUACGCGAAGAACCUUACCUAGCCUUGACAUUGAUAGAAUCUUCCAGAGAUGGAGGAGUGCCUUUCGGGGAACUUGAAAACAGGUGCUGCACGGCUGUCGUCAGCUCGUGUCGUGAGAUGUUGGGUUAAGUCCCG